AUAAGCUAAAUAAGGGCGUAUGGGGAAUGCCUAGGCUCUCAGAGGCGAAGAAGGACGUGAUAAGCUGCGAAAAGCUGCGGGGAUUGGCACAUACAAAUUGAUCCGCAGAUAUCCGAAUGGGGCAACCCACUAUACUGAAGGUAUAGUAUCCGCAAGGAGGCAAACCGGGGAACUGAAACAUCUAAGUACCCGGAGGAAGAGAAAACAAAAGUGAUUCCGAUAGUAGCGGCGAGCGAACUCGGAUUAGCCCAAACCGGAAUUGUUACGGCAGUUCCGGGGUUGUAGGACCACGACAUUUUAUGCAUAAUGAAUUAGAACACUUUGGAAAGAGUGCCAUAGACGGUGAUAGCCCGGUAUAGGUAAAGAAUGUUAUAGAUAGUGGUAUCCUGAGUAGUGCGGGGCACGUGAAACCUGUAUGAAUCUGGCGGGACCAUCCGCUAAGGCUAAAUACUCCUGAGAGACCGAUAGUGAACCAGUACCGUGAGGGAAAGUGAAAAGAACCCUGAACAAGGGAGUGAAAUAGAUCCUGAAACCAUACGCCUACAAGCGGUCGGAGCGGCGCAAGCUGUGACGGCGUGCCUUUUGCAUAAUGAGCCUACGAGUUACUUUAUCUAGCAAGGUUAAGAUGUUCAGCAUCGGAUCCGUAGCGAAAGCGAGUCUGAAUAGGGCGCAUAAGUUAGGUUGAGUAGACGCGAAACCGUGUGAUCUACCCUUGGGCAGGUUGAAGCUGUGGUAACACAUAGUGGAGGACCGAACCCGUUGACGUUGAAAAGUCUUGGGAUGACCUGAGGGUAGGGGUGAAAGGCCAAUCAAACUCGGAAAUAGCUCGUACUCCCCGAAAUGCAUUUAGGUGCAGCGUUGAUUUAUAGUUUUAUAGAGGUAGAGCUACUGAUUGGAUGCGGGGGCUUCACCGCCUACCAAUUCCUGACAAACUCCGAAUGCUAUAAAAUGUUGAUCAGCAGUGAGGGCAUGGGUGCUAAGGUCCAUGUCCGAGAGGGAAAGAACCCAGACCAUCAGCUAAGGUCCCCAAAUGUAUGUUAAGUUGAAAAAACGCGGUUGAACUGCCCAGACAGCUAGGAUGUUGGCUUGGAAGCAGCCAUUCAUUUAAAGAGUGCGUAACAGCUCACUAGUCGAGCGGUUCGGCAUGGAUAAUAAUCGGGCAUAAACAUACUACCGAAGCUAUGGAUUUGACAUUAAUUUGUCAUCUGGUAGGGGAGCAUUGUAACAAAGUUGAAGGUGUACUGUGAGGUAUGCUGGAUUGGUUACAAAAGAAAAUGUAGGCAUAAGUAACGAUAAUGCGGGCGAGAAACCCGCACACCGAAAGACCAAGGUUUCCCCGGCCAUGCUAAUCAGCCGGGGUCAGUCGGGACCUAACGCGAACCCGAAAGGGGUAGUGGAUGGACAACAGAUUAAUAUUUCUGUACCUGCUCACGUUAAAAGUGACGGAGAAUUAAAUUUGGUGCGUGCUGACGGAAUAGCACGUUGAAGCAACUUUUAAGGUUGCGAUAGUACACUACGGCUUCGGCUAUUGUGAUAAUCCAGAGGAGAUUCUUCCAAGAAAAGCGAGUGAAGCAGCCCGUACCGUAAACCGACACAGGUGGUUGGGAUGAGGAUUCUAAGGUGCUCGAGAGAUUCAUGGCUAAGGAACUAGGCAAAAUCGACCCGUAACUUCGGGAGAAGGGUCGCCCACAUUUAUUUGUGGGCCGCAGUGAAGAGGUCCAGGCGACUGUUUAUCAAAAACACAGGGCUCUGCGAAAUCGAAAGAUGAAGUAUAGGGCCUGACACCUGCCCGGUGCCGGAAGGUUAAGAGGAGAUGUUAGCUUUUAGCGAAGCAUUGAAUUGAAGCCCCGGUAAACGGC
rnacentral:rRNA from 1 species